AAUUUACAGCUACAAAUAUCAACAAAACAAAACAAAAAAAAAUCAAUAUAAUUGUUAAACAUUAAAUCUCAACAACAACAAAAAAACAUCAAAACAUCAACUAAAACAAAUUAAUAGAAACAUUAAACAUUAGAUUUAAACAACAACAACAACAAAAAUUAAAUCAAUAGAAUCGUGAAACGUUAAAUAUCAAUAGCAACGAGAGAAAAAAAUAACUAAAAUAAAAU
rnacentral:lncRNA from 1 species